rnacentral:rRNA from 1 species
AUUGAACGCUGGCGGCAGGCCUAACACAUGCAAGUCGAGCGAGCGGCGGACGGGUGAGUAAUGUCUGGGAAACUGCCUGAUGGAGGGGGAUAACUACUGGAAACGGUAGCUAAUACCGCAUCUCAUCUGAUGUGCCCAGAUGGGUUUAGCUAGUAGGUGGGGUAAUGGCUCACCUAGGCGACGAUCCCUAGCUGGUCUGAGAGGAUGACCAGCCACAGUGGAACUGAGACAGGGUCCAGACCCAUAGGGGGGGCAGGAGGGGGAAAUAUGGAACAAGGGGCGCAAGCCUGAUGGAGCCAUGCCGGGUGUAUGAAAAGGGCCUUCGGGUUGUAAAGUACUUUCAACGAGGAGGCGUAACUCAAAAAAGAAGCACCGGCUAACUCCGUGCCAGCGGCCGCGGUAAUA